UUAACUACAAGUCUGUUAUAUUUGGACGGACAUUGCCGAGCGUACCGUCGUCGUAACUGCACGAGCACUACAUAAAAAACGAAUCGUUAAUACAAUCGUAUCGUAAUAUAUUAUUAUUAUAAAUUGUACUCUCGCGGCUAACCAAAUUCACAUUCAACAUGUUUAACUUAGGAGGAGCAAUGAAAAAUAUUACAGCAAAGGCCGAAGAAUUAGUAGAGGAAAAGAAACAUGCCGCAACUUCACUUCUUGAAAAACAGGUCAAAGAAACCGGUGAGUUCUUGUCUCACACACUCAACGAGGCAGAAGGCAAAGCUGUGAACGCCGCAGAAGAGGCGAAAAAGGCAGCUGUGGAUGGUUUUGACCAGGAGGUCGAAAAACUUGCUGAUAGUGCCUUACAGGAGAAUUCUAAACACGAUAUUGGUGGUGGUGGUUUAUUAGGUGGAAUUAAGAAUUCAAUUGGUCAUGUUGCUAAUCAAAUAGAGAAUAAAGUCGAGGGUUCGGUGCACGGGGUACAACAAAAAAUAGAAGGCGCAGCAAGUUCGGUGACCCAUAAAAUUGAUGAGUCAGUUGUCGGUAAGGUAGCGCAUACGGUAGGGGAUAAAGCUCAUGAAGUGACUGGUAAAGUUCACGAAGCGGCUGGUGGUGUAGUCGGCGCAGUGAAGGAUGUCCGUGGUAAGGUGCAGGGAGUCGCCAGUACGGUAAAAGGAGUCGCCAGUAUGAUGCAAAGUACUACUAUCGGAAUGGACACACCCGCCGCACCGGCGACCGCCCCCGCCGCUGUCACCCCGGAACAACAGUCGACCGUCAACCAGGUGGCGGCCGAGGCCAAAACACUGGUGGACAAGACGACUGCCGAACUGAAACCGGCCCUGGAUCAAGCGGUGCACAACAAAAUCAACCCGUUGGCGCAAGACCUGGCCAAGAAGCUGCAGCCGAUCACUGGCGACGUGUCCGCACACAUCAACACGGCGCUGGCUGAGGGCGUCAAACAACUGAACCCGAUCGUCGAUGAUGUGUCCACGAAAGCCAAAGGGUUCGUCGACGAUGCUGCCAAACAGGUGAGCACUGUGGUAGACGACAAGCUCAAGGAGGCCGACCAGUUAAUCAGCGAGAAGCGUGACGCUCUUGGGGAACCGGCCAAGAGCAUUAUGUCCAAGGCCAAGGGAUUGUUCGGCUGUAAGUUAGGUUGCUGUACUAUCAUGUAGGAAAAAAAAUUCUCACACAAAACCCGUGUACGCACAGACUACACACACUGUCGAUGUAUAUUGCCAGAAUCAAUCAACUACUAAUCACUACAUAUUAUAUGCGUAUAAUAGUGGAAGUAGCGAGUUGGCUAUAAAACUGCUAUAGCGUACUAACUGCUAAAUCAUUUUAAUUUUACUCAUUUUUCAUGAUACAUAAUAUUCCACAUCUAUUACUUAUGAUAUAAAGGAACAUUACUUUAAGUGGCACACACGUAUAAUAUAAUAAUUGUAUUUUUUUUCCUUAACUUUAUGUUUAUCGGAAAUUGUAGUCAUUUUAAGCUGCACUCUUGAUUUAAAUAUUUAUUUUUUUAUAUAUACACGCGAUUUAUUUUAUAUCAUUAUGUUAUUAUAUACGUUUUACUAUUAAUUUGUUUUUUGUUUUUACGCGUCCUUAUAUAUAAAUAUAUUUAUACCCCUAGUCGUUCACUGUGUAAUUUACAUUCAUAAAACAAUUUAAAUAACCAAUACCGUAUUUUACAAUAUUACCUAUACCGCUUUCGCGGAUAAUAUGACGGAGACAAUGUACCGUAACGUAAAUAUUAUAAUAAUUCAUAAUCUAAUAUUGUAAUGUAUUCAACUAUGAACUAUAACGGUCGAUUACACUGAUAAUAAACGAUAUUAUAUUAUAAUCAUUCUCGUCCACAGAUAUUAUAUUGUUGUGAUAUUUUUAUUUACUUAAAAUCAUUAUUUGGUAUAAUAUACGAUUAACACGCUUGCUAUUUUUA